CAACACGCACUCAAGCAGUCGAAGCUUUGACUGUAGAGUUGGAACGGUUCGUCUACAUGCUUAAGAUGUUGCAAAUUUAGGCCAGAGCACAAUGGCCAUAAACAGUGCAUUUUAAUGAAUGUUAUGUAAUCUACAGAGCCGUACUGAGGGAAUCUGUCAUCCACAGAGACCUACUAUUAACAUGCCAUUGAGAAAGACACUGAACUGCCAGCUACACCAGUGGAGCUAAGUGGCCAACAGGACAGCUCCCAGUUUCGAAAUGGGAGGGAGGAUGGAACUACAGACAGGAAAAUGAGGCCAAUCAUCCUUGAAAAGGGAAAGUCUUGUUCACACAUUUCAGCAUGGAGAGUUGGUGCCGUGUCGUGCCACUGGACAGUCCUCCAUACAGAGCUGACCUCCAUCAAGUUGAUUGGCUGACUCAGGAGAAAGGCACAUAACUGGCCAAAGAAAAGUAGACAUGACCAUGAGUGGGUGGUCCGUGGGGUACGGGUCCAUGUCUGCCUUACAUCAACCGACAAGUUCAGUCACCACCCUUCAAUCAAUAGUUGAAGCCAGAGAUCUCAUCAUGUCCUUCUAAAAAAG